GAUGAACGCUGGCGGCGUGCCUAAUACAUGCAAGUCGAGCGAAUGGAUUAAGAGCUUGCUCUUAUGAAGUUAGCGGCGGACGGGUGAGUAACACGUGGGUAACCUGCCCAUAAGACUGGGAUAACUCCGGGAAACCGGGGCUAAUACCGGAUAACAUUUUGAACCGCAUGGUUCGAAAUUGAAAGGCUGGUUCGGCUUUCACUUAUGGAUGGACCCGCGUCGCAUUAGCUAGUUGGGGAGGUAACGGCUCAACAAGGCAACGAUGCGUAGCCGACCUGAGAGGGUGAUCGGCCACACUGGGACUGAGACACGGCCCAGACUCCUACGGGAGGCAGCAGUAGGGAAUCUUCCGCAAUGGACGAAAGUCUGACGGAGCAACGCCGCGUGAGUGAUGAAGGCUUUCGGGUCGUAAAACUCUGUUGUUAGGGAAGAACAAGUGCUAGUUGAAUAAGCUGGCACCUUGACGGUACCUAACCAGAAAGCCACGGCUAACUACGUGCCAGCCGCCGCGGUAA
rnacentral:rRNA from 1 species